GACGAACGCUGGCGGCGUGCCUAAUACAUGCAAGUCGAACGCAGUGGGGACGGGUGAGUAACACGUGGGUAACCUCCCAUCAGAGGGGAUAACACUUGGAAACAGGUGCUAAACCGAUACUGAUGGAUGGACCCGCGGUGCAUUGGCUAGUUGGUGAGGUAACGGCGCACCAAGGCCACGAUGCAUAGCCGACCUGAGAGGGUGAACGGCCACGCUGGUAAUGGUACACUGCCCAAACUCCUACGGGAGGCAUCAGUAGGGAAUGUUCGGCAAUGGACGAAAGUCUGACCGUGCAACGACGCGUGAGUGAAGAAGGUUUUCGGAUCGUAAAACUCUGUUGUUAGAGAAGCGGUAUCUAACCAGAAAGCCACGGCUAACUACGUGCCAGCAGCCGCGGUAAUAC
rnacentral:rRNA from 1 species